rnacentral:rRNA from 1 species
UGCGAAUGGCUCAUUAAAUCAGUUAUCGUUUAUUUGAUAGUACCUUACUACUUGGAUAACCGUGGUAAUUCUAGAGCUAAUACAUGCUAAAAACCCCAACUUCGGGAGGGGUGUAUUUAUUAGAUAAAAAACCAAUGCCCUUCGGGGCUCCUUGGUGAUUCAUAAUAACUUAACGGAUCGCAUGGCCUUGCGCCGGCGACGGUUCAUUCAAAUUUCUGCCCUAUCAACUUUCGAUGGUAAGGUAUUGGCUUACCAUGGUUUCAACGGGUAACGGGGAAUUAGGGUUCGAUUCCGGAGAGGGAGCCUGAGAAACGGCUACCACAUCCAAGGAAGGCAGCAGGCGCGCAAAUUACCCAAUCCCGACUCGGGGAGGUAGUGACAAUAAAUACUGAUACAGGGCUCUUUUGGGUCUUGUAAUCGGAAUGAGUACAAUUUAAACCCCUUAACGAGGAACAAUUGGAGGGCAAGUCUGGUGCCAGCAGCCGCGGUAAUUCCAGCUCCAAUAGCGUAUAUUAAAGUUGUUGCAGUUAAAAAGCUCGUAGUUGAACCUUGGGCCUGGCUGGCCGGUCCGCCUCACCGCGUGUACUGGUCCGGCCGGGCCUUUCCUUCUGGAGAUCCUCAUGCCCUUCACUGGGUGUGUUGGGGAACCAGGACUUUUACUGUGAACAAAUUAGAGUGUUCAAAGCAGGCCUUUGCUCGAAUACAUUAGCAUGGAAUAAUAGAAUAGGACGUGCGGUCCUAUUUUGUUGGUUUCUAGGACCGCCGUAAUGAUUAAUAGGGAUAGUCGGGGGCAUCAGUAUUCAAUUGUCAGAGGUGAAAUUCUUGGAUUUAUUGAAGACUAACUACUGCGAAAGCAUUUGCCAAGGAUGUUUUCAUUAAUCAGUGAACGAAAGUUAGGGGAUCGAAGACGAUCAGAUACCGUCGUAGUCUUAACCGUAAACUAUGCCGACUAGGGAUCGGGCGAUGUUUCUAUCUUGACUCGCUCGGCACCUUACGAGAAA